rfam:Hordeum vulgare subsp. vulgare, WGS project CAJW01000000 data, contig: morex_contig_1568253
UAUGUACUCCCUUCGUCCAGAAUUACUUGUCGCAUAAAUGUAUAAAAAUGGAUGUAUAUAGAACUAAAAUACAUCUAGAUGCAUCCAUUCAUAUGAAAAGUAUUUUUGGACGGAGGGAGUAUAUA